GGGCAUGUGGUGUAGUUGGUUAUCACGCUCGCUUAGCAUUCUUGGAUGGUGCGAGAGGGGUCCGGUUCGAUCCCGGACAUGUCCA
rnacentral:tRNA from 1 species